GGAGGAGGGAGGAAGCCCCUGGGAGGGAGCCAGGGUUCAGGGUUUCCAGGCACAGGCUGAACUCUGGUUCUGAGAGGAAAGGCACUCCAGGGUUUUGGAGUGGGCCACCUGAACUUGACCCUCAGGGCAGAUAUCCUAGAGUUCCAAGGAAGGCCCAGGCUGGGCCAAGAAGCCACCUCCAGAAUGCUGUUGUGGUGACACAGAGCACGCAGGGAAGUGGGAGAAGCUGAGAAGGUGAAGCCGCUAAUGAUGUAACUUGCAGAUCCCUGCUGGAUCAACUCAUUUCUCUGUGCAGAAGAUCAGCCACUGUUCAAGGAAUAUAGAGCCCCACUCAGGGCCAAGGAGAGGCUCCAGAAAAAUCACAAACACAAGAAUGUGUGUGAGGUACUGGAUAAAGCUGAGCAUGCUGUCCCAGGCAUGGGGCCUUCUCACCGGUUCUCUGAAGCCACCCCCUCCUUUAUGCCUUGAGGCUGCUUGCUGAUGCCAGGAGUAAAAGAAAUGACUCCUGCCCCUCUGUCUGUGUCUCUCUGUCUCUCUGUCUGUGUCCACCCUCCCCCCCCACCCCCCAAAUCUGUCUUCUCCUGGCAGCUGCAGAGAUUUAUAAUUUACCUGCCUUGUUGUUUCUCUCUUACACUCUAAUAAAACUCAAGCUUCCGUUUGAGUCUGUUUUUCACUAA
rnacentral:lncRNA from 1 species